rnacentral:rRNA from 1 species
UCAGAUCAGUCUAUGGCCAUGAACAAGCCCGAUCCUGUCUGAUCUCGGAACCUAAGCAGGGUCGAGCCUGGUUAGUACUUGGAUGGGAGACCACCCUGGUAGACCAGGUGCUAUAGGAG